rnacentral:rRNA from 1 species
AGUGAACGCUGGCGGUAGGCCUAACACAUGCCAGUCGAACGGCAGCACAGUAAGAGCUUGCUCUUACGGGUGGCGAGUGGCGGACGGGUGAGGAAUACAUCGGAAUCUACUUUUUCGUGGGGGAUAACGUAGGGAAACUUACGCUAAUACCGCAUACGACCUACGGGUGAAAGCAGGGGAUCUUCGGACCUUGCGCGAUUGGAUGAGCCGAUUUCGGAUUAGCUAGUUGGCGGGGUAAAGGCCCACCAAGGCGACGAUCCGGGGAUGGUCUGAGAGGAGGAUCAGCCACAAUGGAAGUGAGACACGGUCCAGAAUCCUACGGGAGGCAGCAGUGGGGAAUAUUGGACAAUGGGCGCAAGCCUGAUCCAGCCAUACCGCGUGGGUGAAGAAGGCCUUCGGGUUGUAAAGCCCUUUUGUUGGGAAAGAAAAGCAGCAGGUUAAUACCCCGCUGUUCUGACGGUACCCAAAGAAUAAGCACCGGCUAACUUCGUG